CCCGCCUCUUCGUCUUCUGCCCUCCUAUGCCAUGAGGUCGGGGGCAUCUACAGGGCAGCCUCACCGAGGCCCCUCUGUCUCGGGGCUUUCCGAGCUGUCUGCUAAGGGGAGGCACCAGCAGGAGAUGGAAGGGACCGGGCGGUCCCAUGGGUGGCCGCAGCCCCCUCCCCGCCCCAGCGCUCUCUGCCUUCUGUUGACCUGGUCCCUCCAUCAUCAGCCCGCCAGUCCUAGAGUUGGCAGAGACGCCUGCAGGCACUGGUGUCCCAUCUCCUCGCUUGUCACGCAGCCUGGAGAUCCUGAUAAGGAAUACGGAACUAAUAGGCCACCACCAGCCGGAAGAGUUCGGGAAAGAUCGAGAGGAGACACUACCUGUCCGUCCACUUCCCAGAAUCCCUCUCGCUAGCAUCCAUCUUGGCUGAGCGAUGCGUGCGCCACCAGGAAAGACUCUGAAUUAGAAUGACUGGCCAAAGACCACCCGGAAACUAAUCCCAUCACCAUAAAACCCAAGACUGCGAGCCAUGCGGCAGAGCAGUUCUCCUGGGUUCCCUUACCUACUGCUCUCCACCCGGGAGCC